AGCUGUCCAAGUGUUAACAAUUAGCUUUUAGCCUUCUACCUCAUAGCGUCUAAGGUAAACUUAGACAACCUAAGGCUGUCCACUUGUUACGCCACGUGUGUCUAUGUUUGGGAUGUUAUACUAGCUAACUAACGUUAGCAUAUUACACAUUAAGAAGAUGUGACAGUUAAUUUUGUGUAGAGUUAGCUAUGAUAGAACAUUUAUUCCUACUAGUAUGACAGAAGAGGUAAGUGUAUAAGCUGGACAUGUAAUAGAUAAUCUUCUGACCAGCAUGGUGACAAUUAAGCCAACACUGGCAACCAGUUGAUGGAAUAACUGCUCAGGCCUGGAGACUGUGUCGAUAAUCGCAUAGGUAGACAGUUAACUCUUCACUUUUGCCUUCACCAAGAAAUGGAUCGAAGCAUGACAGAAAAGCCAUGCUACAUCAAUCAACUUCAGGGCCACCGGUGGCUAUAUAUAAAAAAAAACAACAAGUGGUCACUGAACAGAGAGAAAGAAAUCAUGGAGACGGAUUUGGGUUAUCUCAAGCACAGGAACAUCAUUUGAACAUGGAAAGGUUAUUUCUCUGUUGACAAUUUCAUUCAUAAUGGGAAGCAUUUUUUUUUUUUUUCAUGAAUCCAUUAUGUUGAAUUCAGUUUUGCCUGUUAAGUUGUGUUUCAACGGCAGGAACUUUCCCUAGGAACUAGAACCCUUUGGUGGAACUCCCUCUGUUUCCACUGCAGGAACCAGGAUCUAAAUUAAGUUGCAGGGAAAUUUAUUUUACCCCCCCCCCCCCCCCCCAAAAAGUCCCUGCUCAGGGGGGUAGUACUUUACAAAAGUACAAGAACCUUUGGGGUGGGGCCUCCAGCACUGAUAAUUUCUGAUUCGUUGAGUACUCCAGCAUUUUAUUUCAGUCACCUAUUUUAAAAACCUGUAGCUGCAUAUACAUUUUUCAUUGUGCUUCAACACAUCAACAUAGAGUUGCAGAAGAGCGCGUAUGACAGAUCGACUGACGAUGAACUCCAAGCCUUAUUCAGUAUUUAUACUGAAGAUAUCCAGAGGGAAUUGGAAACUGCAACCUGCAAUGAAAGUAAAGGAUAUGCAAAAAUCUCCUGCAAUUUAAGCGAAAUGAAGAUUAUUCACACCGCGAAACAGUGCCGGGAGCUUAAAAAACGAAAACAAGAGUACAAAAAAAUUAAAAGACCACAACAACACAAGCGACUCUGACUGGUGUUAGCAGUUAGUGGUAAAGAAUUGAUGCGUUGCUGGGUCACCGGCCAGCCCUUUCUGGCACAGUGGUAACAAAGGACUCAGCUACUUCAUUGUUGGAAGCCAUGGUGGAACAGACGGACGACCAAUUGGUUGAAGAUGCAGCUGCAGGAGGUCACUGAACUGCAGGCACCAGCAGCCCUCAUCCCAUUACUCCAGUUGAAGCACACAAACGCUGAGAUAUAGAUCAUUUUGCCUGGAACGAGGAGAAGAAAUGCAGUCUUCCUCAAUGUGCUGAGGGACAUGGACGACGCAAACUGCCAUCUAGCAGCAAAUGCAGGAACAGAGGAACCGGUACAUGGAGCUGCUACUGAAGAGCCAGGUCAAGCAAGAGAAAUGCGGAGGCAGGAGCAGGUCUUUCUACAUUCCGAAGCAGAAGAAACCAGUACUGUACUUGCCCAGUCGCUGAGCCAAAAAAGCCUUACUGCCCCAACACUUGACUGAAGAUUGUCUCUUGCCCCCCUUUGCUACCAAAUACCUUGUAUUUUGCACGUUGCCUUGCAUAUGUUGAAGUAUUUUGCACUUGUAUAUUUAUAUUUUGGUGAUUCAUAGUGGAACCAAUUAUCAAUAAAAAUAUUAAAAUCA